GAAGUGUAGUGAUGCAUGGAGCGGACUAGUACUAAUAGGUCGAGGACUUAACCAAG
rnacentral:rRNA from 1 species